AGAGUUGAUCCUGGCUUAGGAUGAACGCUAGCUACAGGCUUAACACAUGCAAGUCGAGGGCAGCAUGAUCUAGCUUGCUAGAAUGAUGGCGACCGGCGCACGGGUGCGUAACGCGUAUCCAACCUUCCCGCGAGUCAGGCACAGCCCGGCGAAAGUCGGAUUAAUUCCUGAUGUUCUCCGUUGACGGCAUCAGAGACGGAGUAAAGAGUUUUCGCUUGCGGAUGGGGAUGCGUAGGAUUAGCUUGCAGGCGGGGUAACGGCCCACCUGGGCGACGAUCCUUAGGGGUUCUGAGAGGAAGGUCCCCCACACUGGUACUGAGACACGGACCAGACUCCUACGGGAGGCAGCAGUGAGGAAUAUUGGUCAAUGGGCGAGAGCCUGAACCAGCCAAGUAAGCGUGCAGGACGACGGCCCUACGGGUUGUAAACUGCUUUUAUGCGGGGAUAAACGAGGGGACGCGUUCCCCUUUUGCAGGUACCGCAUGAAUAAGGACCGGCUAAUUCCGUGCCAGCCGCAGC
rnacentral:rRNA from 1 species